rnacentral:rRNA from 1 species
UACGUAGGGGGCGAGCGUUGUCCGGAUUUACUGGGCGUAAAGCGCGUGUAGGCGGCGGCUUAAGUCGGGUGUGAAAGCCCGGGGCUCAACCCCGGGAUGCCGCUCGAGACUGGGUCGCUUGAGGACGGAAGAGGGGCGUGGAAUUCCUGGUGUAGCGGUGAAAUGCGUAGAGAUCAGGAGGAACACCCGUGGCGAAGGCGGCGCCCUGGUCCGUUUCUGACGCUGGAGAGACGAAGCGGCGGGAGCGAACGGG